rnacentral:SRP_RNA from 1 species
UGUUGGUUCUCCCGCAACGCUACUCUGUUUACCAGGUCAGGUCCGGAAGGAAGCAGCCAAGGCAGAUGACGCGUGUGCCGGGAUGUAGCUUAGCUGG